rnacentral:rRNA from 1 species
CCCUUAGAUGUUCUGGGCCGCACGCGUGCUACACUGAGUGGAUCAGCGGGUCAGGUUGCGCGAAAGUGUUUCCUAAUCUUUAAAUCCGCUCGUGAUGGGGAUUGACGGUUGCAAUUUUCCGUCAUGAACGAGGAAUACCUUGUAAGCGCGGGUCAUCAUCCCGCGCUAAAUACGUCCCUGCCCUUUGUACACACCGCCCGUCGCUCCUACCGAUUGAGUGGUCCGGUGAGGCUUUGGGAUCUGAGCGGAAAGAGCGUUUCGCUGUUUCUGCCCGGAAAACUCAGUCGAACCUUAUCAUUUAGAGGAAGGAGAAGUCGUAACA